AAUAUAAAACUGUCACUGAAGUCAGUAUCUGUAUCUGUAUUUCCCACUUCUGAAUAUGGAUGGGUAUGUCAUUGAUUCAUUUUGGCUAUUGUGUGAUUGGUGGGUCUGUGUAUAAAUAAGUCGUGCUUGCUGAGGUGUGCUCAUUUAAACCCAGUGGUUCAGGAUGUUUUGUAAGAUACACCAUAUCGCUAAUCCUGGCUGAGCCGGCUGCUUGAACUUUUGAUGCAUAUAACAAUCAGUUUUCCAUGGUGGCGUCAUAUAUUUUGUUUUAUGACGUCAAAAUUUUACGGGAACCUGUGUGAUAUCUAUUAAUGGCAGACAAAUAGCGAUAAGGUUUAUAAAACUAAUCCAGUAAUACAUCCCCCAACAAUGUGACUGACAUGAGAGAUUUCCUUUGUACUUUAUAACUACUUUCAUGAAUUCAUAAAUUAUAAUGAAAAAAUGAGAAGUUCUCUUCUUGGAAAAGUAUACUGUUACACGUAGUAUAUUAUGUCGGUUGGUUGAUUUUGUUGGUAGCUAAAUUUCAAGUGGCAAAUAUUUCAUUCCUGUUCGCAUAUAAAGUAUUUUUUCGAACG
rnacentral:lncRNA from 1 species